UAGGAUAUAGCUCAGUUGGUAGAGUGCUUGCCUUGCAUGCAAAAGGACUCUGGGUUCAAUCCCCAGCACCAUAU
rfam:Ictidomys tridecemlineatus contig076604, whole genome shotgun sequence.